UGAAUAUUCAUGACAGCAUUAUUCGUAACAGUCAUAAACUGGAAACAAUCCAAAUGCCCAUCAGCAGGUGAAUGAUAAACGAACCGUGGUCUGUCCACACAAUGGGUGUUCUUCCGCAAUAAAAAGGAGUGCAAUAAUGAUGUAUACGAUAUAACGGAACUGAUGGAAGAAGCCAGACAACCCCCAGCCUGUGGUGUUCUCGUGAGAGCAGCCAGAACGGACUCAGACGGAGCUGUUAAUUUCUUGACUGUGGCGGGGAUUUCACGGGGUCUUGAGAGCCGUGAAAGACUGAAGCACCGUCUCUGAGGUGGAGGCAUCGCUGGAUCCAGCUCCUCAUCCGCUGUCCACGUCAGCAUGCUUUGCCAUGUCACUCUGCGUGCCCUCCCUCUGGGGAUGGGCAGCUGUCUCAGCCCUCGACAGAAGGCAUGCGGCUCCCCCAUGUGACUUGCUUUUGGGGGCGGGACGUCAGCAGAUGUGAAGCUAUGCGCUGUGGAUCAGGCUGUGCCCCAGGGCUGCCUUCUGAGUCUCUCAGGGCUGUUGCUGUGAGAACGCGCCCGGCCUGGCCUCCUAGAGGAUGAGAGAUACCUGGAGCAGAGCCACUUUGCUUUGGUCACCCCGGUCAAGGUCAGCCGACAUCGGCCAAUAACCGCGGAAUCUCCCAGACAUGUGAACAAGUCCAGCCAAGGCCAGGUGGUGGCGAUAGACGACAGAUUCUCGCCCUAUCAGAAGGAACAGUCUGGGGUUAUCUGGGAAGGCUUCUUGGAGGAGUGGAUUGAUAAAGUGGGAACGACGCGCUUACAUGACAUAAAAGAGGAGUGUUCGUGGGACGGUAUGAUUGACACCGAUGAGCAGAGCGGGCAUUUUCACAGCUUCCGCCUCCAAGCAUCUUCUCCGUUAAUUUCCUCAGGAUGAGCUUAGCAGCCUGGAGAGGGCUUAAAAGUUACUGGACUGCUAUCAGAUUGCCUGCUUAUGGCUCCAGGCCAUUUGCAAAACCUAGCUGGGUUGCGGUUUCUUCUUUAAACUGGGAUGGUAACGUCUACAGCACAAGCUGGUUCUCUCCUCUCAGAAUGGACUGUCCAGACAUGAUGGAGAGCGCUCUCCUGCUCUGUCCUCACCACAGCCUGGAGCCUCAGAGGACAAAGGGCCCUUCUCACUUCCUUUAGCAGGAAAUAGGGACCCUCGUCCCUCUUCUGGGCUUGCGGCAGCCCACCUGGGAGCAAAUGCGGGAAUAGUACCCUGUGUCAGAAUGCCUCUCAGAAGACUUAGGUCCUCUACCCACAGAAAAUCUCCCAAGAUCCAUCAGCUUCUAAUAUUUAUUCCAGAGACCAGAGCAUGCAGAUAAGUGACUACGUGGUGCUAAAAUUGCAAAUAAAUUUACACAUUCCCACAGUGUAUCCCUGGGCUGGCUGGGGGCCCGGGAAGAGGGAAAACCUGCUCCCAGCUGAUGCGAGGUUCUGAUCGGGGUUUCUCCAGCGGCAAAGGUUCACUCACAAGAAUCUCAGCAUCUUAGAACCUGAGUCAUCAAAACCUAGAAUCCUAUGUUACUAGGUCUUAGAAUCUUUA
rnacentral:lncRNA from 1 species